rnacentral:lncRNA from 1 species
UGAUCCCUCCCGGACCUCACCAGGCGCGACCGGAUCCGCGGCCACUAUUAUUAUUUUACCUCCUUUCCCCUUUCCAUCGCCGAUUCCUUGCCUCCUCCCGUCGGCUCCUUCCAUGGAGAUCUCCUUCGAGGCGUGGGAGGGCGUGCACCGGCACAGCCAGGACCUCGCGGACCGCCUCGCGCAGGGCUUCACGGGCCUGCUCCAGGUGCCGUCAUAGUUCCCGUGGCCCCCCGCGCCGCACAAGCGGAUGCCCAUGCCCUUCGAUAUCGACCUCCCCGUCGUCCCCUUCGGCGGCGCUCGCGGCCGCGGCGUCCCGAGGAAGGACUUCCCCUUCCCUGCCACCGCCGUCUCCUCCGUCAUCGACAUCGGCGGCAUGCUGGGCCAGGCCGAGGUCGACAUAGAUUCAAUUUUUGUUGAUUGUUGUGGAGGUCUGCAGAGUAUUUAUUUGACUUUAUAAGUUGUCCUUUUCUAGCUACAUUUAGUCUAAUUUGGAUUGGAUUUGGAUUUGGAUCCAUGUGGUGGAUUUGAUUCAGUCUCGAUUUGGUCCCUUGCACUUUGGUUGGAGAUUUGAAAAAUCUUGAGCACGUAGAUUUGUGAGAAAUCUAGUUGAGUGUGCAUGAUUACGGAUUGGGCAUUGUAAUACCCGAGGACAAAACCAGAUACGCACCAUAUGUGAGUCUUAGAAACCAAAUCUCACAUAUAGCUACAAAUAAGGGGUAAUAUCAAAAGACAAUGCAUAAAUAUAUAACGUACUCAGUAUAAAAGAUAUAACCUUUGAUAGCAAACAGUGGAUAGACAACUCCAAACUUCGGGUAUUAACUUCUCUCUACAGGAUCCAACUGACUGGUUGAUCACGAGCCCAAAACUUCUCCUGAGGUGUGGGGGAAAUUGCAAGAGUGAGCACAUAUCGUACUCAACAAGUAUAACCAGGGGUUCAUGAGGCUCAAUUAGCUGACACUGGUUUGACUGCAUUUAGCUUUUAUAUGUAGAUAGUAUUUUUAUAUUUAGAUAGCAAAUGCCAAGGUAGCAUAAUUAAAGCCCAUAACCACAUGAUCAAAUGUAUACAAGAAUUAUGAAUAACACAUAUAAACAACAUAAUAAACCAUCUUUUAUUAUCAUUAAUCAUAUUCAUCAGUGUCCAUCUAUUCCGUCAGUUUUCCGGGCCACCCGUAUCCGUGGGCACGGCUAGUAUACCAGAUUUAACACUCUGCAGAGGUUGUACAUCUUUACCCAUGAGUCAUGAUUUACCCUUUCGCCCGAGGUCAUGAGUCUCUUAACCCCCUUCCUAGGAAGGUCGGCAGGGAUCACUAUGAAGUCUUUCAAAGGUUCGUCUAACAAGUUAGGGCCGCUUAGUUUCAUUAGUCAGUCCAUGUGAUUCACCCGCAGGAAUCCACGGUCUGCUAUUCCCCAAUUGCGCCACACGGGUAACCGCUAACGAGCUAGAAAAGUUACUCAUGCUUGACUAAAGCCAGAGCCAUAUAGCCCUCAUUGUUGUACGAGUUGUCCCAGCUUUUGCCAAGGGAUAAGUCCUUAUGGAGGGUCAAGAUCAAUCUAGCAAAAGCCAGAGUUCUUUCCACCCUUUAUAUUCAAGUUGCUAGAAAGCUUAUUUUAUUGUUUAUUGUAUAUGUAUAUCCAAAUAUUCAUGUUACAAGAUCAUGGAUUAUUAAUCAAGCACUAGCAAGAACUAUCCAAAUGCAUAUCCAAAAAGGUAACAAGGAAUUCAGAAUAACAAUCAUCUAUGAUUUUGCUAAGGUCAUCAAGGUGGACACAUGCAUAUGAUAUAUAUUGUAUUAAUUGUGUAUAGGUAACAAGGAUAGUCCCAAGUUAUACUUGCCUUGAUCAAAGCUCUCCUGAGCCUGCUGCUGGUUGUCAAAAGCUUGACCUUGAUCACCAACGUAAAGCUCACCGACUAAACUCGAUCAUCAAUCAACAACACGCAAUCCAAUGUAGACAAUCAUACACGAAGCAAACAAGCUAUAAUUAGAACAAUACACCAACGGUGAUAAAACAAAUAUAAAAGUUUAUAAAAAUAUUCUACGCAGUGCUACGAUCACACAAACGUAAAGUUAACGAAAAUCGAACUUAAAACGUAGAAGUUAUAAAUUUUCUAAGAUUUCCUACAGAUAAAUAAUUAAUUAAAUGCUACUGCGAAAAUAAAAAGUUUUAAAACUGAGAAUAAAUACUUCUAACAUGUAGAGCUCGUAAAUACGAAUCUAACGAAAUUUGAAUGGGUCAAAUCGGAUUUAAAACAAAGAUUUUAUGAGCUAAACAAAUCCAGUGGCAGUUUAGUAAAUACUGAAAACGCAUUUUGAAAUCAAGCCGGCAGACUUUACGUCUUCAAAAUCAGAAGGCUUAUUUCUUUCUAUACGUUUUGGACUGCGGGUUGCUUUCAAGAAAACGCAGGGACUCUUUAGAAAAAUAGCCAUCGAAGGAGUAUGUUUUAUUUUCAUCCGUUGGAUCCUGAUCCGAUGACUCAGAAUGCAUCCAGGGGAUUGGGAGUCUCAGCCGGCGGUGCCCAGGAGCCAGACGGUGGCUCCAUUGCCGGAAAGAGAAGAAACUCGCCGGAGUUCGGGGAGAAAACACUAGGAGCCAUGGUUUUCGAUGGGAAAAGAUCCAGGGCGUAGAGGAACUUCGUGCGAACUCACCUAGGGGGUUAUUGAGGCUCCGGAGAUCUCGGGGGAGGCGCGCGACGCAAAACCGCGGACGGGGAGUCCUCCUGCAGGUUCGGCUUUGAUGGGAGUGCAUUAGAACACAGUAGAGAGCAAGAGAAGGGCUAGGCAUCUUCGUAACCUCGAUCCAAAGCUUGGCAAGCUCUUGAAUUUGGAAACGCGGCAGCCGAGGAAGAGUUUCACGGCGGCGGCGUUCCCUGCUUCUUGGCGAGAUCCGAACGCAAGGCUGUGCAGCAGCUAGGGACUCACGGCCCUAAUAGAUGGGAAAGAGGAGUUGCGGGGGCGGAAACAGAGCUUUAUAGUGGCUCAGCGUGUGCACGGCAAGAAAUCCCGAGAAAUCGGGGGAAGGUUCCGAUGGAGCAGAGUCCAAGCCGGUCACGGCUUGAGGUUGAAGAAGCCAGCUGACAGAUGGGCCCAAAAUGUCAGAGAGAUAGGGAGUGGGGUCUGUCGGUCAGAGAGAGAAAAGGGGAAGGAGGGAAGAGGCACGCGCGGCUGGGCUGGGGGGAUGGGCCGGGCGAGGGAGAAAGCUGGCCACGGGGGAAAGACUGCUGGGCCGAAAGGCCACCAGGCCGAGGGCAGGGUUGGUGCUUUUCUUUUUCUUUUUUUUUAUUCCUUUUCCAAAACCUUUUCUAAAUAGGAUUUUGAAUGCAAAAUAAUUUCAAGCCAAAGGCAAUCAACACAAAAUGAAAUAUGAUUCAGCAUGAAUGCAUAAACAAGUUACUAUACUUUAUGUUGGAUUUUAAUUUCAAUAAAGUUUAUUUAUUCACUACAUUCAAAUGCUCACAAAAAAAUGCUUAAAUAAAUCCAAUUAAUUCCUAUAACUGAAAUCAAAUUUUUGGGUGUUACUUACAGGCAUGAGUAGAGAUAAGAUAAUGCAGACGCCAGACGAACACAGAAAAAUCGAUUUCUAUAUUUCUAUUGUAUUUUUAUUUGGGUGCGGUCUCGAUCUCUUAACUCUGCAAUGAGGUAUAGUUGGGAAAUAAAUAGGCCAGACCAAAAAAAUCCAGACAAAAAAGUGGCUGAAAUUUUGCCUCUUUAUUAUUAGGUAUAGACUAGCUACCAAUAUGCAACACAUUUUCCUAAAAAUCACAGUAUAAUUAAUAUCAUCUUUGACUGUAGGAUGAGCCACAUUGUCACAUAAGUGUUGUGUAUAUAUAUACUUGUGUAUUUUCUAUUUUUCUAAGUUUCAGUACACAUAUACUAAUUAUAGGAAGCAGCAAAAUCAGGUGCACGAACAUCCAGCGAAACAGAUUGAGCUAGAGUUGAAUCCUACAACUUAGGCAAUAACUCUUGAUCAUUUUAUCCUUGACGUUUUAUGCAAAAUUUGGUAAAAUAAAUGUAACAUGCAUUAAAUGUAUUUUCUAAAAUUAAUUAUGGAUGAAUGACAUGUGAAUUGGAUGACAUGGGGCUAGCUGAUGGAGCAGCUAAUUCCCUACAAUAUUUGGAUGGAAAGUUGGUAGGAUUAAUAACCAACUCUCACUUGUGUUAUUGGGUCAUAUCAAAUUGUGUCAACCAUGAACUUGUUUGAAACGGGCCAAUUCUUAUCCAUAAAGUUGUUAUAUAAUUCCUAUGAUAAGUGAAGAGAGGUUUAGGUGAUGAAAUCCUCAUUCAGAUGUUGACGAAGUACAUCGCCUAGGCGCAUAUAUUAGCACACAUGGAUAGAUGUAGAUGUAUAAUAUACAAAAAUGAGAAAAGUUUGAUAUCUUGGCCAUGAGUAGUAAUCAAAAGAAGUGUCAUGGAAAGUUAGUCAAUAUAAUUAUGGAUAAAGUGAUACAAACCUGCACAGAGUUAAAUCAUGAAUUCAUAUCUUGUCUCUUGGAUUAGAGGCUACGAAACCUAUGGGUGGCUCUUCCUCAAGAUACAAGUGAUUAGUAGUGUUUUUUAAACUGAACUUGACUUUUUCUACAAAUACUAAUUCAAACAGCAAGAUGAUAUAUUAUUGAUCAUUUGAUAUGAUCAGAUUGCAUUGCUUUGAUAUAUAUGCUUGCUGAGUACGUUGUAUUACUUUUGUAUUAACUCUUCCUCUUCUGAAGAUCCUCAAGAAUCUCUAGAUGAUGGUUAUGCCUACACAGAUUGGGAUGAUGGCUAUGAGGAAGCUAUAGUCAAGUUGUUGGCACCUCCUAUGGUGAAUAGGAUGAAUAAAUAAAUCCCCUCAGCUAAGUCAUGUAUGUCAUGGCUAGUAAGCUAGUUUGGACUUCUAUAUGAAGGGCUUGUAAUAAUGUGCAAACAUUUUAAGACUUAAGUGAGUAGGAUGGUAUUGUACUAAUAUUUGGCACCAUCUAGCCAACGUACUCAGCAAUUUAGUUGAAGUUCCACUCAA